rnacentral:lncRNA from 1 species
GUAGAGCUGCCCUGGUUAUCACUCAACAAGAAUGACCUUCCAAGGACAACAACAAGUAUCACAGGAUCAAAAAGGAUUCUAGAGACAAGAGGGAGGAUCCAACUUGAUACCCACAGGUGCCUCGAUUGCUCAAAAGCACACUUAUUCCAGCCAAGGUAAUCAUCAUCGCCCUAGCACGAACACCACUUGAGCAUAAAUAAGCAACACCUUUAAAUACAAAUAAAAAUGGUUUAGGGUUCAUUGCUAGCCGCCACGGACGCCAUCGCCGGCGCCGCUGAUCUACCGCCCUCAUCCGUGGCCGCUGCUGCCGUCGCCGUGGUUGGUGGGAGCCACCUGCGUGGGAGGGAGGGAGGGAGAUGGCUGCAGGAGCACGUGAGAGAGGAGGCGACAGCUAGGUUUUCAUCGCAGGAAGCCGCAGUUAUUUUAUAGCCGGUACGCGAAAUGACCCAGAUGCCCUGGUGGGGGCAUGGUAUUUACAUUUUGUUGCAAUUGGAAUUUUAUCUAAUGACUCACAACGAUCUGGUAAAUAUCCGACGUCUGACGUGAGCCGAAACCAAGAUCCGACGGCUGGAAUCGCAUCAAGAAACAGAUCGGACGGCCGAGAGUGCCUGAGCUCUGAGAACGCUCGGUGGCUGCCUCUAUUCUUGUUUCUGGAUGGAUAAGCAGUACCUUUAAAUACAAAUAGAAAGGGUUCAGGGUUCAUUGCAUAGUGGGCUCAGAUUCGCCUUUCCUCGAUCAUAUAACCGCCCCCCGUCAUCUCUUAUCACCAGAUCAAUCUGUUUAUACAGUGGAGCUGCCCUGGUUAUCACUCAACAAGAAUGACCAUCCAAGGACAACAACAAGUAUCACAGGAUCAAAAAGGAUUUUAGAGACAAGAGGGAGGAUCCAACCUAAUACGCACAGGUGCCACGAUCGCUCAAAGGCACACUUAUUUCAGCCACGAUUAAUCAUCAUCGCCCUAGCACGAACGCCACUGAUCAACCUAGCAAAUCCAAGAGCAUAGCUAUAGGACCAGGGCAUCCACAUGUAAACCAGAGCAUCGCAUGAGCUCCUAUGAUAGCAACUAAACAUGAACAACAGCCAGCAAACCCUAAAAUGGCAUGGAUCCACAACUACAGAGCUCAAGUAGGAACCGAUGCAUGAGUAGGGCAUAGAGCAUUAUCCAGACGAGCACCACAUCAAUAUAGCCAUGGCCAUGUCCCAUACAGUAGCCAAAGCAGAGGAGAAGGAGGAAGAUGGAGCUCAC